rnacentral:rRNA from 1 species
GCUUACGGCCACACCACCCUGAGCACGCCCGCUCUCGUCUGAUCUCGGAAGCCAAGCUGGGUCGGGCCUGGUUAGUCCUUGGAUGGGAGACCGCCUGGGAAUACCAGGUGCUGUAAGCAU